GGAGUUCAUCCUGCGCUUUGCUAAUUGUGAUUCAGUUUUGCUGUGAUUCUGCAACAGGUUGCUCACGAGCAUCAACCCACCUAACAAAACCUCCUUCGGGUAGUGAUAAAGAGGAAGAUUUAAAGAAGAUAAAGUCCAUCGGUUCGUUUCUUCAGAAUGGAGAAGCAGUGCUUCUGGAGAAUUGCCAUGUUUCAGCCUUACAUUUUUAGUGGGACAUAUACACAGAUAUUGUUAAUAAUAACUUAUCUCUUCUCCUUUGAGGAUUCUUGAAUCUAGUAGAAAUGGGAAUAAUUGCCCUAAAUUCCAUGUGCAAAAGCUACUCCAUCUAAUGUACCGUUCAGUAUUUAAAAUGAAUAGAUGGAUCUAGUUUUCAUUCAAAGAGGAGUGGGGGGAGAGGGGGAGAAGGAGGACAACAGAAGGUUACCUUCCAACAGUGUGGGUAUGGCAUGCUAUGGUGAUGCUGAAGGUAUUCUGACAAUAGCAAGACAGUUUCUGUUCAAAAAGCUUCAAGUAACAGCCUUACAAGGUAGACCGGAUCAGGAAACCAACUCUAUGAAGAUUAGAAAUGAACUUUAUUGAGAUUCUAUUCGUGUUUCACCUUCUCUCCCACCAGGGGCAGGUUCCAAAUCCCGUCGCUACCGGUUCACUUAUGCUUGCGUGAGCGCUUGUGCAGAAGCAUCCGGAUGGGUGGGUGGAGCCUCCCACUGCCGCCUCUACCGAGGGGCCGGAAUAGCUCAGGCUGUUAGAGCCUGUUAUUAGAACACAGUAGCCUGCAAUUACUGCAGGUUCAAGCCCGGCCCAAGGUUGACUCAGCCUUCCAUCCUUUAUAAGGUAGGUAAAAUGAGGACCCAGAUUGUUGGGGGGGCAAUAAGUUGACUUUGUAAAAAUAUACAAAUAGAAUGAGACUAUUGCCUUAUACACUGUAAGCCGCCCUGAGUCUUCGGAGAAGGGCGGGAUAUAAAUGUAAACAAAAACAAAAAAAUUCACCUGAUCCAGUGCGAACCGGUAGCAACCCACCACUGUCUCUCAUUCAUAUCCCACUGAGCCAGGGAGGAGCUAUCCCGAGCCUUUUCUGUCUCCUUCCCUAGGUCCACACACUGCUUCUGCCCUUGUUUCUGUAAAGGCUUCUGAACAGUGGGGAAAUCCAAUUUUUUUUUACUACUGGUUCUGUGGGCAUGGCUUGGUGGGUGUAGUGUGGCUUGGUGGGCAUGGCAGGGGAAGGAUACUGCAAAAUCUCCAUUUUCACCCCACUCUGGGGCCAGCCAGAGGUGGUAUUUGCCAGUUCUCUGAACUACUCAAAAUUUCCACUACCGGUUCUCCAGAACCUGUCAGAACCUGCUGGAUUUCUCCCCUGCUUCUGAAUAUUCCUUUCAAGGCCAUUUCUAUAGCUCUCUAAAUUAAACAAGUCAGGCCAUCCUCAGCUAAAAAGCUAGAUUAGGUACCUCCAAAAUUCAUUAGCAAUUCGGAAAACAAACAAAAAUUGAUCCAAUGGCUGAUUGGUUGUCAUCUGGAUCAACAAAAACUGCCUUGGAUACUCUAACUUUGGAAAUCCAAUAUUGUGGACUACAGAACCAAUCUCCACUGCUGGGCUUCUGCAAACAAGAAUGAAGAAUGAAUGACAAUGGGAAGAAACUUUUUAAUGCCAAAAAAAAAAAAAAAAGACAUUGGCCCUAAUGACAGCAGAUCUAUUACAGGUAUGUCAUGUCCCACUCCUCCGCUGACGGCCGGGUCAGGGAAAUCCGAAUCAGGCGUGCCUCCGCAGCUCUGCCAAAGUCCUAGCAAAGUCCUCAGGGCAGGCAGGAGACUAGAAAGUGACUUCAGCAAAAUAUGUUUAGACUUUGCCUGACUCAGAGAAUGCCAGAAAGCAGGUCCUUUAUAUAGGCCAUGGGGUGUGGCUCCAUGACUCAGCACUUAUCCAGGCCUGCCCCUCCCUUCCUUCUGUUGCCUCCAUCUAUCAAGUCUUCUGACGCGAGGGUCACUCCAGUCUGCAGCUGUUGGCAAUUGACCUCUCUCAGGUUCACAUGCUGUGGAGGAGGGGGAGGGGUCUAGUUGCUCCGUUUGCCUGGGCAUGGAGCCAGAGCUGGGGGUUGGAGGUAUUUCCUCCUCUUCAGCCUGUGUGGGCAUGGAGCCAGGGCUGGAGCCGGGAGGCAUACUAGGACAUUCCUCCGUGUUCGGAAGCAGAUAAGAAGACCCCGGCUGUGGUGAGAUCGGACGAGACACAACAAGGUAGUCCUAGAUUUAUGACCACAGUUGAGCCCAAUAUUUCUGUUGCUAAGUGAGACAGUUCCGUUUUGUUCCAUUUUAGGACCUGUCGUGCCACAGUUGUUAAGUGAGUCAUUGCAGUUGUCGUGUCAGUAACACAGUUGUGAAGUGAAUCUGGCUUCCCCAUUGACUUUAGUUGUCAAAAGGUCGCAAAAGGAGAUCACAUGACCCUGGGACACUGCAACCGUCAUAAAUAUGAGUCAGUUGCCAAGCGUCUGAAUUUUGAUCACAUGGCCAUGGGGAUGCUGCAGCCGUCGUAAGUGUGAAAAACUGUCAUAAGUCAUUUUUAUCAGUGCCAUUGUAACUUCGAAUAGUCAUUAAAUGAAUGGUUGUACAUCAAGGAAUAUAAAUUAUUUACAGGAAUCACAGCAAACCUAAUAUACAUCUAUGUAAAAAAUGACAUAUAUGUAAAAAACAAAUUACACUUUUGCCUAUUGGGCAAAAUUUCACAGGGCAGAAAAGAUCAGCUAAUAAUUGACAACUUGGUCCUUAAACACUCAGAAGGAAAACAAUCUUUUUAAAUAGCUUGAUAAAAAGGCACUGGAUUCCAGAGGUGGGUUUCAGCAGGUUCUGAGAAGUUCUGGAGAACUAGUAGCGGAAAUUUUAAGUAGUUUGGAGAACUGGUAGUAAAAAUUCGGACUGGCCUCAACCCCAUCAGAGUCCCAGCUGAUCGGGAGGAAAUGGAGAUUUUGCAGUAUCCUUCUCCUAGAUUGGGGAGGGAAUGGAGAUUUUACAGUAUCCUUCCCCUGCCAUGCCCACCAAGCCACGCCGACCAAGCCAUGCCAUAUCCACCAAGCCACGCCCACAGAACCGGUAGUAAAAAAAAUUGAAACCCACCACUGCUGGAUUCCCACAUAGUUAGAUCAGCAAAUGCCUGGUGAUUAGAAAACCUGACAGCAAAGAAAACAUAUCUUACGGCCUACAAUGGAAAAAAAAAAAUUGGGUGAAGUCAAAAUUAGAAGAGGAUUAGUCCAAGGUAACUCAUUGCCACCUUUCUUAUUUAAUUUUAGCAGUAAUAACACCAGCUAAUUUGAACAAAACCAGAUGUAGCUUUCAACCCACACGGCAAAGUCCUAAAGAAAUCCAUUUGCUAUACAUAGGUCGGCUAAAAAGGUUUUCAAAAUCAAAAGCAGAACUUGGAUCCCUAACACUACAUUAUUCAGCGAGAAUAUGGGAAUGCAAUUAAGUUCACACCAAUGUGCAACUUUGAUGAUUAAAAGGAGACAAAAUUCUUCAAGAAGAUAGAUUACAGCUCAUGAAUAGAAAUACCCUAAGACAGUUGGCACUAGAGGAAAGAUUUAUGGGAGCUUCUGACUAUUAUGUGGCCAAGUUAAAAGGAAUGGUUGCAUUAACGAUAUAAAACUGAUAUUAAAAAAUUUGAAAAACAAAAUUUAAAUUAAAUUAAAUGCAGGGAACAUAAUUACAUCUCUAAACAAAUUAUUAGAUAUACUGCAGGCGUAACUGAUUGGAUAUGAGUUGAAUUAAAACACUGGGAAAUAAGGAAAUGAAUGACCACCCAUCAUGCUUUUCAUUGAGGAAGCAUUAUAGACAAAUUCUAUUUUGACAGAAAGAAAGAUAGUAUAUGAUUACUCCAAGUAAAGAAAAUAAUAGAAAAAGAAAGACAUAGCCUGAUUAGGUGACUCAGUGGCUAAGACACUGAGCUUGUCAAUCAGAAAGGUCGGCAGAUCAGUUGUUCGAAUCCCUAGUACAGGUCUCCUGCGUGAGCAGGGGGUUGGAUUAGAUGACCUCCAAGGUCCCUUCCAACUCUGUUACUGUUACAGCUUCAGUGAUUAUAUCAGGCACUGUAAGAGACCUAAUGGUUCCACCACUGUGGAAAUUUAUAAAGGAUACCAAUUGAAGACUACAGAAUUCAAAAGAUUAUUAUAAAAAAGAAAUAAUUAAAAACCACAUGAAUGCCUGGAAAUCAGAAUUUUUUCAUAGUGUGUGGGGGGGGAGUGUGUGUGUGUGUGUGUGUAUCAUGGAAGCUCAGAAACAGGCUAUGCAAACUAACGUCGUCAAAGGCAAAAUUAAACAUAUUCUAUUUAAUAUCAAAUGUCAUCUACGUAGGUAAAAUACAAAAUUCUAAUUCACCUCAUUAGUUGCUAUAGCAAUGUUGUCCCAAGUGUUUCAAAAAGUAUGCCUUGGAAUUUUAUGUAGAAAGGUUGGCUUUACAGGUGGUCCUUCAUCUACAAUCACAAUUGGGACCAGAAUAUUGGUCACUAAGGGAUGUGGUCAUUAAGCAGGGGUGAAAUCCAGCAGGUUCUAACAGGUUCUGAAGAACCGGU